rnacentral:rRNA from 1 species
GGGAUGUGUUUAUUAGAUAAAAAACCAAUGCCCUUUCGGGGCUCUUUGGUGAUUCAUGAUAACUUUACGGAUCGCAUAGCCUUGCGCUGGCGACGGUUCAUUCAAAUUUCUGCCCUAUCAACUUUCGAUGGUAAGGUAUUGGCUUACCAUGGUUUCAACGGGUAACGGGGAAUUAGGGUUCGAUUCCGGAGAGGGAGCCUGAGAAACGGCUACCACAUCCAAGGAAGGCAGCAGGCGCGCAAAUUACCCAAUCCCGACACGGGGAGGUAGUGACAAUAAAUACUGAUACAGGGCUCUUUUGGGUCUUGUAAUUGGAAUGAGUACAAUUUAAACCUCUUAACGAGGAACAAUUGGAGGGCAAGUCUGGUGCCAGCAGCCGCGGUAAUUCCAGCUCCAAUAGCGUAUAUUAAAGUUGUUGCAGUUAAAAAGCUCGUAGUUGAAACUUGGGCCUGGCUGGCGGGUCCGCCUCACCGCGUGCACUCGUCCGGCCGGGCCUUCCUUCUGAAGAACCUCAUGCCCUUCACUGGGCGUGUUGGGGAAUCAGGACUUUUACUUUGAAAAAAUUAGAGUGUUCAAAGCAGGCCUUUGCUCGAAUACGUUAGCAUGGAAUAAUAAAAUAGGGCGUGCGUUUCUAUUUUGUUGGUUUCUAGAGACGCCGCAAUGAUUAACAGGAACAGUCGGGGGCAUCAGUAUUCAGUUGUCAGAGGUGAAAUUCUUGGAUUUACUGAAGACUAACUACUGCGAAAGCAUUUGCCAAGGAUGUUUUCAUUAAUCAGUGAACGAAAGUUAGGGGAUCGAAGACGAUCAGAUACCGUCGUAGUCUUAACCGUAAACUAUGCCGACUAGGGAUCGGGCGAUGUUCUUUUUCUGACUCGCUCGGCACCUUACGAGAAAUCAAAGU